UAGGGAAUCUUCGGCAAUGGACGGAAGUCUGACCGAGCAACGCCGCGUGAGUGAAGAAGGUUUUCGGAUCGUAAAGCUCUGUUGUUAGAGAAGAACGUUGGUAGGAGUGGAAAAUCUACCAAGUGACGGUAACUAACCAGAAAGGGACGGCUAACUACGUGCCAGCAGCCGCGGUAAUACGUAGGUCCCGAGCGUUGUCCGGAUUUAUUGGGCGUAAAGCGAGCGCAGGCGGUUCUUUAAGUCUGAAGUU
rnacentral:rRNA from 1 species